AUUCCUCCUUUUUGGAUUGUGGACUUGUCCCAUCCAUCAAUAAAUCUGUGGCAUCUUCCAUGAUUAAUGGUGAAUCUGGAGCAACUGUUCUUUGGGUAAAUGCUGGCAAGGUUUGAGGAUGGACCACAUAUGAAGCAUCUAUUCAGUUAGCCAGGGAGGAUCCUGAGGUACAGCACAGAAGUGAAAAGUUUUCCUGAUGGAAUGUUUUCUUUCUUCCUUCACCAUGAGAGAACUGAAGAACACAAGUAUCCAGAUUAAAAGCCUCCUCCACCUCCAAGCAAAUAGUUAGAAAAGUGAAUGAAACAAGACCUGCAGGUAGGGGGUCACAAAACUCACUGGGGUUAAAGGGACAAUUCUGAAAGUUGCUGGGGGGUCGGGGGGGAGGGAGGGGCUAGUGGUGGUAAAAAGGAUCAGUUCAAAGGAAUGGGAGUCUAAACAAAAAGACACAAGGUUUUUCAAUAGCAAUACUGGAUUUUGGAAGAAAAUUGUGCUUCAGAAGGAAAGUCCUUUUUAACCUAGAACUUUAUAGCCAGCCAAAGUCUCAGUUAGAUGGGAAUGGAAGUAAAACAAAAACUGAAAACAUUUGCCUCCCAUUCUUGGAUGUGCUCCCAUAAAAGAAAGAACUGAAACCAACAGAAGAAGGCCUGGAAUCCAAGAACAAUCAGCAUCUAUCCCACAAGAAGAGGGGGAAGAAAAAUCUCAGGAUGACCGCUAGGCAACAGCUACUUGUUGGGUGGCCAGUCAUCUGCCUGUUUCUGGUCUUUGUUCUGUUUUCUUUGUUCCAGGACUCCCACUAAUUGGGUACUGUCAUUCUUGAUUAUUUGAAUAUCUUAUAAUCUCUUAUCUCCUAUUGUCUCAUUCUUUCUUUUAUCUUCUACUUUCUUUGUAAUUUUCUCAUCUUUGUGUUCUACCUUUCUAGUUCAUCACAUUUUAAAUUUCUGAGACCUCUUAUCCUAUGUUCCUUUUUCAUAGCAUCUUGCUCUUACUUUUACUACAUCCACUAUUUUCUCAUGUCUCUGAGAGAAUGAAUGAUAUUUUUAAAACAUCAUCUAUUCCCUGUAUUAUCAAUUUACUCUAGACUCCAUUUUUCUCUGUUGAUCUUGACAAAUCUCCUUUUUAAUUUUGGAGGUUCAAAAAAAAUUACAGACAAUUUCUCUAACUAAGCUGAAACUGUGCUACAAAAAUGGAGAAAUAUUCAAGGUGAUCCAAAUUAUUUCCAAAAUACUGCAUCAUGAAAAACAUAGAAAAUUCAAUGUUCUUCAGAAAAGCAAAUAAAUAUUAUUUCUAGAAAUAGGUUUAUUCAAUCAUAUAAAAUGAUUAACAGGUACAUGUGAUUAAACUUUUUAAGGUAUCCUUGAAAAUGUGGAGGUAGGUAGUAUGGGAGGAAAAUAAUAAAACUUGUCAAAAUGGAGAAGAGUGGAGUUCCCGUCGUGGCGCAGUGGUUAACGAAUCCGACUAGGUUGCGGGUUCAAUCCCU